rnacentral:rRNA from 1 species
UGGAGGCAGCAGUGGGGAAUCUUGCACAAUGGGGGAAACCCUGAUGCAGCGACGCCGCGUGAGCGAUGAAGCCCUUCGGGGUGUAAAGCUCUUUCGUCAGGGAAGAUAGUGACGGUACCUGGAGAAGCAGCUGCGGCUAACUACGUGCCAGCAGCCGCGGUAAUACGUAGGCAGCAAGCGUUGUUCGGAGUUACUGGGCGUAAAGGGUGUGUAGGCGGUUCUUUAAGUUUGGUGUGAAAUCUCCCGGCUCAACCGGGAGGGUGCGCCGAAUACUGAGGGACUAGAGUGUGGGAGAGGAAAGUGGAAUUCCUGGUGUAGCGGUGAAAUGCGUAGAUAUCAGGAGGAACACCGGUGGUGUAGACGGCUUUCUGGACCAUAACUGACGCUGAGACACGAAAGCGUGGGUAGCAAACAGGAUUAGAUACCCUGGUAGC